rfam:Setaria italica strain Yugu1 chromosome VI, whole genome shotgun sequence.
CUGUAUUAGUUGUGUCCUGCUUUCUUUUAUGAUGGUGGGAAGUUAAGCUGGUGCACAGAGGAAAUGCUGCUCUUGUAGUAGCAGCGGCCAGACAACCGUUGAGAGAUAGAUCCACAGAUGAACAUUCUUUCUGCUGUUUGUCUACUAACUCUAUCUCACAUUC